AUUGAACGCUGGCGGCAUGCUUUACACAUGCAAGUCGAACGGCAGCGCGGGCUUCGGCCUGGCGGCGAGUGGCGAACGGGUGAGUAAUGCAUCGGAACGUGCCCAGCAGUGGGGGAUAGCCCGGCGAAAGCCGGAUUAAUACCGCAAUCGACCUGAGGGCGUAAGCGGGGGACCGAAAGGCCUUGCGCUAUUGGAGCGGCCGAUGUCGGAUUAGCUAGUUGGUGGGGUAAAGGGUUACCAAGGCGACGAUCCGUAGCUGGUCUGAGAGGACGACCAGCCACACUGGGACUGAGACACGGCCCAGACUCCUACGGGAGGCAGCAGUGGGGAAUAUUGGACAAUGGGGGCAACCCUGAUCCAGCCAUGCCGCGUGCGGGAAGAAGGCCUUCGGGUUGUAAACCGCUUUUGUUCGGGAAGAAAUCCUCUGGGCUAAUACCCCGGGGGGAUGACGGUACCGGAAGAAUAAGCACCGGCUAACUACGUG
rnacentral:rRNA from 1 species